rnacentral:tRNA from 1 species
GGGGGAAUAGCUCAGUGGUAGAGCAUGUGCUUAGCAUGCAGGAGGUCCUGGGUUCAAUCCCCAGUGCUUCCA